AGAAAAAAAAACGGUGAGGGUGUCAGGGGAGGAGGUAGUACUUACCAGGAGAACGCUGCAUUUCGAAAGGUGGAAUCGAUUUCAUUUCACCAACGAUUUCUUCCCGGCUAAUUUUUCCUGUGGAUCUGAGAGGAAGGAACUCUGUGAAGAGGAUAGAACGAAAGGAAGAGAGAAAGAGAGAGGGGGGAGAGAGAGAGAGAGAGAAGAAUUCAUUCUUGAAUUGCCAUGACCAUGGUCGUCAACAAGAUCAACAUGUCGUCGUAUUCUGCGCCACGACGUACCUUCUUUUCGGGUUUUCGUACGAAGAUGUCGGAGUUCCCAGUGGAGGGGGGAGAAAACGGGGACAUGCAAGCGGUCAUGGAAAACUUUCAAAAAAAGAACAAUCUGGUCACUGGCCGGACCCAUGUUUCCCAUCAUCCACAAGUUACCACUUCAUCGCAGAUGCUGACGACGAAUCAGAGCCAGAGCAGCAGUAGCAGCAGUAGUUCGAGCAGGGUGGCCAAAUCCUCUCAGAGGAUCCUUACGUCGUCCUCGUCGAGUGAAAUGAAAGCGAGCUCUAUGAAGAGCGAUCUGACCGAAUUAAAGCGUGGCAUUUCGGAGAUGAAAAAUAUUUCAACGAAUUUUUCACGAUUACGUAGCAGCAUGGAGAAUCUCGUUGACAGAGACGGAACCGGCGCCGAAGAAAAUGAUUUGACCGAGCCAUUGGUAACAUUCCCGGAUCCUGAUACACCACCACCCUCAACGGGAACUGUCACAUUGACGGGAGGUUCGCCGUCUCAAUUGAGUUCUCUCAAUUCAUUGAACAAUCUUCACAGUAUGAGCCCGCAGAUGAAUAUGCCGAGUAUAACGAAUAGGACGAGUUUACCUGCCGGUCAGGAAACUAUGAAAUUCGAACAGAAGAAAAUGACGAGUGCAUCCAAGACGAAGGUCGUUACCGAUGGAUUUAGUGCUGAAAAGGCAAUAGCCAAUAGCGCUGAAAUGAGAGCAUUACAAGCUGGCGAUGUAUCUUACAAAGAACAAAGCGCCGCGACCGCGGCAAGGGCACGGGUCGAAUUGGACGGUGUAUCUGCGGAAAAGAGGGUAGCUGCGGCCAGAGAACAGCGAAGCUUGAAGGCUGGAGAUUUAUCGCAUCAAGAGAGCAACAACAUGGCAGCCUCGACUAUGAAGUUACAAAGUGAUUCAUUCAGUUCAGAAAAGAAGGCGAUGGCGGCACAACAACAACGUCAGACAGUAACUUCCUCAGGAAUUUACAAUCACGAAAAACACAUGGCAUCGAGUUCGCAAUCGAGUAUAACAAUAGCUUCGAAAGGAGUUACGUCAAAAUCAUCGAUGAUAUGUGCGGCCAAUGCGGUAAAUCAAUUGAUGAAUGGUAUGAGGCCAGCUGAGGAUGAACUUCUUUCAUUGCCAUUGGAUGAUCUGGAUUUAUUAUGUUCUAAGUCAAAUCCGCAGGAUGUUGAUCGUGCGAUUGCUAAAUACUCCGGUUUCUUAGAUAGUUUCGUCGAACGUUUAAAGACCAACGAAGGAAAGAACGGGAAAGCUCCAUUGUUAUUGAACAGGGUAAAUGAGAUCAUCAGAAAAGCCUGGGCUGUACCUACUCAUGGUCAUGAACUUGGUUAUACACUGUGUAAUACCCUUAGAACGAGAGGUGGUCUAGAUUUGUUGAUGUCAAAUUGCAUUGCGAGCGAUCACGAGUUACAGUUCUCCUCGGCCAGAUUAUUGGAACAAUGUUUGACAACUGAAAAUCGUGCCCACGUGGUUGAACAUGGCCUUGAGAAGGUUGUAAACGUAGCUUGUGUGUGCACGAAGAAUGCCAAUUCCGUGGAUCAUUCUAGAGUGGGCACCGGUAUAUUGGAACAUCUAUUCAAGCAUAGUGAGGGUACCUGUAGCGACGUUAUCAGGCUUGGCGGUUUGGACGCGGUUUUAUUCGAGUGUAGAAAGAACGACGUAGAAACAUUGAGACACUGUGCCGGGGCAUUAGCCAAUUUGUCACUUUACGGUGGUGCUGAAAAUCAAGAAGCUAUGAUCAAGAGAAAGGUACCAAUGUGGCUCUUUCCACUUGCCUUUCAUAACGACGAUAAUAUAAAGUAUUACGCUUGUCUGGCCAUCGCAGUUUUAGUUGCCAACAAAGAAAUUGAGGCGGCCGUUUUAAAAUCCGGUACCCUUGACUUAGUCGAACCAUUCGUAACAUCUCACAAUCCUUACGAAUUUGCAAAAUCGAAUUUGGCGCAUGCUCAUGGACAAAGUAAAAAUUGGUUGGAAAGAUUGGUACCCGUGUUAAGUUCGAAAAGAGAGGAAGCCAGAAAUCUCGCAGCUUUUCACUUUUGCAUGGAAGCUGGUAUUAAGAAACAACAAGGCAAUACCGAGAUAUUCCGUGCUAUAGGAGCGAUCGAACCAUUGAAGAAAGUCGCCAGUUGUCCAAAUGCAAUUGCCUCCAAAUACGCUGCACAAGCAUUACGUUUGAUUGGCGAGGAAAUACCACAUAAACUUAGCCAACAGGUACCACUUUGGUCUACGGAGGAUGUUAGAGAAUGGGUUAAACAAAUAGGUUUUGCCGAGUGUGCUGCAAAUUUUGUUGAGAGUAGAGUGGACGGUGAUCUUUUGCUUCAAUUGACAGAGGAGAAUCUCAAGGAGGACAUUGGCUUGACGAAUGGAAUUAGAAGGAGACGUUUUACGCGGGAAUUACAAAAUUUGAAAAAAAUGGCGGAUUACAGUAGCAGGGAUACCGGAAAUUUAAAUAGUUUCUUACAGUCGAUCGGUCAAGAAUUUUCUAUAUAUACUUAUAGUAUGCUCAACGCUGGCGUUGACAAAGAUUCUAUAAGAAAUUUAUCCGAGGAUCAAUUAUUGACCGAGUGUGGUAUAGCCAAUAGUAUACAUCGACUUAGGAUAUUGGAUGCCAUAAAGAACAUGCAACACAAUCAAUUCAGUUCUUGCGAAGACGAAUCGCCGGAUAAAUCUUUAGAUGUAUUCGUUAGUUAUAGAAGAUCCAAUGGAUCUCAAUUAGCUAGCUUACUCAAGGUUCAUUUGCAAUUACGUGGAUUUUCGGUCUUUAUCGACGUCGAAAGGUUAGAGGCCGGUAAAUUCGAUAAUAAUUUGUUGCAAAGUAUAAGACAGGCCAAACACUUCCUCCUUGUGCUAACGCCCAAGGCAUUAGAAAGGUGUAUACAGGACAACGAGUGUAAAGACUGGGUCCAUAGGGAAAUUGUAGCUGCGUUACAAUCGCAGUGUAACAUUAUUCCCAUAAUAGAUAAUUUUCAAUGGCCUGAACCUGAAGAUCUUCCUGAAGAUAUGCGAACGGUUUGUCACUUUAAUGGCGUACGUUGGAUUCACGAUUAUCAAGAUGCUUGCGUAGACAAAUUAGAAAGGUUUAUGCGAGGAGAAAUUCCUGUAAGAUCUGAAUUGUCCGGUGGUAUACCAAGAAGUAUAGCAUCCAAGGACGUAACAGCACCUAGUACGCCAGGUAGCACGAAUAUGCGACAAGCACCGAAUUAUCAACGAAUGCAUAGCAAUGAAAGUAGAGGUAGCGACAAGGAUUCAAAUGGUGGGCGAGACUGACUAGACGGCCCGCCCACAGCUAUUCCAAACAGCAGGGAAUAUGAAUCGCGAUAAGACAAUCACGAUUUUAGAUUUAGAAAAUCGUCGAGUCCGUCCCGUUGGUUAAUGGGUUUGCCGCCAACGUCACCUCGAUUAAAAUUCGUCCAUACACAUCCUGGAGGAAGUCCAAUACCUCGCAGACCACCACGACAUCCACCCUCUCCGUCUACACGAUCUAAAUCCUUAGAACUUUUAGAUCAGGAUGAGAAGAAAUCAUCUGUCUUGCCAGUCGCCAAACCUGAACCUAUACCAAGGCCAAGAUCCAAAAGUUUGGAUGGUCUUUUAGACGAGGAUGACGUAGUUUCACACAUUAAGACUGAAGAAUUGGCUAAGGAUAAAGAAGAGAGGAUUGAUGAUCGAGAUAAGAAAAAUCCUCUUAGUUUUAAUGAAACAAAUCAAACGGAAGAAAAAAAUUGCGAAUCUAUUACGGACAACUUGAAUGUAUCUUGGAAAAAAGAAAAAUAUGAGGAACGAUCAAAUGUUGUUAACGAAGAAACAAAGGAUGAUAAAAAUCCAUUACCUGUUCCGCGUUUAAAAACAAAAAUAUCUAAUUCACAAUUGGAUAUAUGUAAAGGGGUGUACGUCAAGGAUGAAAAGAAUGAGAAACCUUCAUCGUCGUCCUCUGAUAAAAGCAACGUUAAUGAAGAAAAUGAUUCAACGUUGUUAUCUAAACAAACAAAUAGAUUUACGAGUAUGGAUAAACGAGAGAACGAAUCAUCGUGUUCAAUUGAUCAGCGUGAGGUGACGAAUUCUCAUAAAGGGCAGCAACAAACCAUUGAGCUUUGUGAUAAUAGUGUAGAACCAAUACAGGAAAGACUAAUGACGAUAAUAAACGAUAAAUCAAUGUUGCUCAAAGCAAAGAGUUGUGGCGCGGGAUUAGAUUCCAACGAAAGUGUUUCGUCCAAUGAUUACAAAGCUGAGAUAAAGGAACAAGGCUCGUUGCUAUCAUUGCCGGCAGGAGCCGAGCCAAAGAGAAAAAGAAAUUUCAUGGACAAGUGCGUAAACAAGGUGCGGUCUUUCAUAAAGAGAUAAAUAAUAAUAAUAAUUAUUAUUAUUAUAAUAAUAAUAAUAAUAAUAAUAGUAAUAAUAAUAAUAAUAAUAAUAAUAAUAAUAAUCGUGACUUUGAAGAAAAAAUUGUGCACAAGUGAUAUAAAGACUUAUUCUAAAUAAUUUUAUGAUAUCUGUUUCUUUUUUUUUUUUCUCAAUUUUUUUUCUCUCUUCCUUCUUUUUUUCUUUUUUUUUUUUUUUUUUUUUUUUUUUUUUUUUUUUUUUUUUUUUUUUGUUGACACCACGCCGACUUUAUAUAUCUUUAUUCAUAAUUCCAUCAGAACGAUUCGUUUUUGUCGAACAAGAUUUAUAUAUAAAGAGAGAGAGAGAGAUUAUAUUUAAAAAAUAAAUACAAAGGAAAGAAAACAAAAAGAAGAAGAAGAAGAAAUAAGAAAACAAAAAAAAAAAAAGAAAAAGCGAAAAAAGGAACGUAAUAGAUAUAUGCAAAAAAAAAUUUCCUGUAAAUACACAUCGCUGGUGGAAAUAUGAAUAUAUUGAAGGGAUAAUAAAACUUUUGUGUAUAAUGACAGACAGCAUGAAAAUAUAAUGUUGUGCCUAAAGAUUAAUGUGUCUUCGUAGAAGUCGGAGCGACCGGAUAAAUGAUUUUUAUCUUUCUUAUUUUCAAGAAAUAGAAAAUGUCGGUCCGCUUUAUUUCAGGUGCCUUUUAUAUUUCAUUAAUGAAUUGUAUUAUAAAACACUUAAAAAUGUAAUUAGAUAAUAUUUUAAUUUGUAAUACUAUUUUCUAUAGACAGUUAUAUCUUUUUUGAUUAUCAACCGUACUCCUAUAGAGAGCAAUAUUAUAAAUAUAAAGGUUGUUUUAAAUGCAGCUAACUCUAAAAAUAAAGGUGACAAAUUUAACGGUA